rnacentral:misc_RNA from 1 species
GAAACGUUUAUUAGGUUCAAAAUAUAAAGAAAACUCAUGCUUGUCAUAAAUCACAUUUUAUACUUAUUAUUGGCUUAAGAAUAAAAACACUUCAAAGCAUAUGUAGAAAUUCUGAUCAACAUAUUACAUAUUUUCUCACCUAUGAGGAGAAAAGAUUGAAAAUAAACUAAAAAAACUUUCAUCACUCCAAUGAGUUUUAACUCAAUAGUAUUGAAAUCAUUCCCAGAAGUGGCGAGUUUGGACAAGAAAAACUUUUACAACCUAUGAACCCAUCGUUCAAGUCGAAGUUGCUUCCGCAGAGGUCCAAUAUUUGGCCUAGUCUUCUGAGGACACCUCCAUUUUCCGGUGAUCUCAAUGGCAUCAGUCUGUUCCAAAUUAGUUCUUUCUGACAAUGCCUUUCUUUUGCUGGCUCCCUUUCCACAGUCUGAGGUUAUCCUUUUAUUUCUUGAACAUUCUGAUAAAAUCUUUUGAGGUUUGUGCACAGAAUUCUCAUCAUUUGCUGUACAUCAGUUCUUUGUCGUCACAAAACCACUUUCCAGAACUUCUUUUCCUUCAUUUUCUUUGUUAUUACUUUCACGAGUUGAUUUUCUAUUUAAAUCUCCAACAACUGGAACAAAAUCCAUAUUAGUGGCGGAUGAUACAAGAUCCACUCCCAUUUCAACCUUAGUUUUCAAGUUCUCUGUAAGAUCCUUCCUAAGAUUCAACUUUGUUGGAGAUGCCCUAUCAUUAUUUCUUGAAUUUGUAUUUCUCUGGUAUGUCAUAAAAUCAGAUGCUUGUAGGAAAUUUGGCUUCUGUUGCUGUUUAUACGGAGGACAUUCACCAUUCAAGCUUCCUUUCUCAAGAUUGUUGGUUGAACUUAUACGAUGAUUGGAAAAUAUCUUAUCUGCAAUGCUCUGCCUCCUUUCACAGCUCAAGUUAUCCUGAGUAGAUGAACUUCCAUUCCCAGAAGCCCUAAUGCCCUUAUUUAGAGACUGGUUUUUCUGCUCAUCACCUCUCAGGGAGUUGUUAGACUUCAAAAAUCCAUUUGAGAAUACUUUCUCAUCAAUAACAGCUUCAUCUGUGAUUCUGGUUUUUCCGAAUUUCCAUAAAUUCCUUUCUUUCUCUUUGUUGUUAUGUUGAUUGACCAAAUCCUCACAGUCAAAUUCUUUCUCAAUCAAUCCCUUGCUUUCUAGAGAUCCAUACACAUAACUAAAGAACCAGUUUCUAGUAUCUGGUGGCUCUGAUAGAAAAUAAAUAUAACACAAUUCAACUAGUAUCUGUAUGUAAACUAUAUUUCUUGCAUUCCUUAUUGAAAUGCUCAAAAAAUAAGGUGAGACAAAACAAAAAAUCAUAGAACAAUUUUUACAAUAGCUACUAACCAGAUAGAGUUGAAGGUGAAUCUGAAGAAUCUGGAAUCUCAUUUGAAGAUUUAUUGACAAGAGUGUCUUCAAAUGAAUUCUCACAAUUGACAAGCCCAUUUGAACACAGCUUUCCACCAGCAGGAUCUACUUCAUUACUGUUCCAAGAAUUCCUAGACUCAUGCUCAAAUUUGUCUUCCCUUUUUCUUUUACUUUAGAAGCAAAUUCCUCUUUCUCACACGCACUUUCUUUGGCAACUGAUUCUUUAACAUCAUCAGGUGAAUACAGUAAAGGAGAUUUAUACACAUAAGUAGAAAACCAGUUUUUGAUGUGAGGCUCUGACAGAAGAAAUAAAACAGUAGUUAUUAAAAUCUUAAAAUAGAUUCCCAUAUCUUUUCUAAUUAUAGGAAAAUCAAGAAAGGAGAAAACAAUAAGAUUGACAGCUUUGAGAAAUUCUGUCAGAUCAAUACAUUAUCCAAACAACGACCAAAAUUUCAAAAAAUCUAAAAGCUUCUGAAAGAAUUGGCCUAACCGGAAAGGCCUGAGAGCGAGCAUGUAGAAUCCGUCAUCCGACUCAAAGACUUGUCUUCAUGCUUAUCAUAAGUGUCACCGUUUCUUCUAGAUUCGCCCAAAUGUACUUCCUUUUCUCUGCUUCUCUCUCGACCAACAGAGAACCCAUCUCCCUCACACUUACUUCCUUUAAACUCAUAUGUCCAAUACAAAAAAUUCAUAUAUGUAACUAGGAAACCAAUUUCUUAUGUGGGGAGGUUCAGAAGGAAGCGAGAGCGGAUGAGGUGAAUCAGAUGGCUUUUCCAUCUGAUCUCUCCUUGACGCAAAAGAAUCUAUAACUUUUCAUUUUUUCUCUUCCGCAG